GGCACGUUAUGAUAUGAAACAUGUAUACCUGCAGGUUACCAUUAGAGUCAAAAACUCCAACCAAAUCACAACAGAGGGAUUGAAAGGUUCUGGGUAAUUAAAUGGAACAUACCUACAGAGGAAAAAGAAAACAAUUCAAAGCAUUAAUAAUGAAAGAUUAACUAUAAUCUCUAGGUAACCUCUAGGUUAGAUUACUGAAACAGAUUAUACAUGGGGCUGCCUCUGAAGACAGUUUGGAACCAUCUCUUUCCAUAUGAACUGACCUGGGCCCUGCAAUCAUCAUCUGAGGUCCUUCUUCAUGUGCUUCCUCCACAAGCGGUCUGGAGAGUGGGAGCACAAGAACAGGCCUUUUCUGUGGUGGCUCCCCAUUUGUGAAAUGUUCUUCUUAGGGGGCUUACCUGGCCACCGUCAUUAUACUCCUUUAGGUGCCAGGCAAAACUGUUCCCCUUCUCCUCGGCCUUUCAUUGGUGUUAUUGUUUUUGUUUGUUAUACUAUGUUACAUAUUUUUGUGUUUUUAUAUUGUAAACUGCCCUGCAAUCCUUGGAUGAAGGGUGGUAUAGAAUUUCUUAUUCUUAUUAUUUAAAACAGAAGACUGUCCCCUCCCCAAGAAAUAUGCUAUAGAUCUGUCAAAAUCAAGGAUGUCUUCUCUUCAUACCUUUAAUUGUACUUGGCUGAUAUUCAGACCAAUCCUCACUACUGAUGCUGAUAGGUUGCAGUGGGAGGAAGUAAGAGGCAGACACCAAUUACUUGGAUUAAACAGGCCACAACUUUAUUUCCACAGCAUGGCAUAAAACAUUAGCUAGGCUCCAGAGAUAUGGGAAUUUAGAGAUGAUCCCCGGAAAAAGGGGGCAGAACCAAGAGCAGACUUAGAGGAGCGCCAACAUAAACUGUUUUAUCUGUUUAGCAAUAAAACAUUUUAUUAACUUUUUACUUGGUGCGACCUUGAUGUGAACGAAUUCCUUAUUACAAAAGCCAUAUACAGUGGUACCUCUGGUUAAGUACUUAAUUCGUUCCGGAGGUCUGUUCUUAAGCUGAAACUGUUCUUAACCUGAAGCACCACUUUAGCUAAUGGGGCCUCCUGCUGCCACUGCGCCGCCGGAGCCCAAUUUCUGUUCUCAUCCUGAAGCAAAGUUCUUAACCUGAAGCACUAUUUCUGGGUUAGCGGAGUCUGUAACCUGAAGCAUAUGUAACCUGAAGUGUAUGUAACCUGAGGUACGACUGUACUGCUGUUGUCAAAAGGCAGUGUGUGGGAUGCAGCAGUCAUAUGAUGCAUUGGUACAAGCUCUUUCAAUUUUGUUACAGGUUUAUGAGCUCCAGUUUGCUUAUGCUACUACAGUUUUUUUUUUUUAAAGAACAGUGCAAGUUUAUUGGGAUUCCUAUACAGAAGCUGCAUAACGGCAGACAAGGUUUUCUAAAGCUUGAUGACCAUCCCUGAUAUUUACUUGCUCCCACAAAGUGAAACCAUAGGAGUACAUUAGGUCAUUUUAAAGCACCCUCUCCAUUCAGGUAAGAAAACAAUGAAGUGCAUGAACUAAACAGGUGACUCAGGACAUACUGCAGACUCCCCUGCAAUGCAUUGUGGUUCUCUUGAAGAUCUACAGGAUGUGUUUGGCACAGGAGUCAAUGGAUGCAUCAUGCUAAUCCAUGGUUUAGUGUGACUGUGGUAUGAGCUGGAAUGACUAUGAGCAUGCCUACAGUUCCAGCACUUCCCUCUCCUCCCACUCAACUAAGAGGAAAAUUUCAACAGCAUUUAGUUUUGCUUUCCUUGAACCUUGCCUGCUUGUGUUGCCUAGACCAGGGACAGAUAUUGAUAACAAACAGGAGAAUUUAACACGUAGCUAUAUAACCCAUAGCUUGAAGCUGGCUUGCUCUGAAAUGGACCAGCAUUUCUUCAAAACCAUGAUUCCAGCAAGCUGAGAGUCAGGGAAAAUGAAGUGAAUGUUACAGAAGUCAUCCUUCUGGGCGUGUAGGAGGAGGGGUGUGUAAAACCAAGGCUCAUGGCAACUCCUUCCUGUUCAUGCAUGAUUUAGCAGGACAUGCAAACGUAUAAAAAGGGUUCCCAGAAAACAGACAGUUAUGACAGAGGGGGCACCAUACUAAACAGCAAUGAUUUAUUUUUCCCCCAUUAAAAAUUACAUGGAUCCUGAAAUUUGCAAAGCCUCAGCAUGGUGUUUAGCUUACCAUGCAAAUGUUGAAGCCAAGAGAAAGAUAAGUUCAUCUCAGAUAUGAGGAUCCAGGAAGAAAUGCUCAGGGACAACAUUUACAGGUCUGAUGCAGUUUGCAUGGCUGAUUAGUCUGCCUUAGCCUAAUUACCCUUGCCUGUCCUGACUGUAAAGAUAAAGACAUAGAAUACUGAAGGCAGCUAAGAUGAAAGAAGACUGUCUCUGCCAUAAAGAAAGAAUACAUAACCAGCAGCCUGUCUGUCUAUCUGUCUCAAGCUUGAGGCCUAAUUGAACCCAGUUUUAUUGAGGUGCAGCAGACACCACCAGGCCAAAUUUUUGGCAAUGCUUCAUGUGUCAGAUAUCAAAGUCUUAGUUCAUGCUAAUUAGUCUUACUAAGUUAUUUACUUUGGCAGUUCUCGUGGAGGCUCACCAAAAUAGAUUUUUUAAAAUUAGCUUUUUAAAAAUUGUAUUGUUUUGUUAUUUAACGUUGAACACACUCAACUUUGGUGAGCUUAGCCAUGUUAUAUGUCUUCUCCAGUAAAUAGAACUUAUUCAUCCCAUCUUCUCAGCAAGUGUCUGGGUAGAUUAGUAAGUUUCCAAGCAUAGUUGGAACAAUUACUUUCCUAACAUAUCUGAGUGAUGACAAAAUGAAUUCCGAAGAGGAGAAUUUGAAUGCCUUCCCUGCGUAUGUCUUUCUCUUCUAUCAAACACUCCAGUUGACUUUGGGCAAGGGAGGGGCAGCUGCAGCAUCAAGCAGGAGGGGAUGCAGCAUGGAAAAUACCCAAAACAGAUUUGCUCAAAUUCCAUGAUUUCUUAUGGUUCCAAGCAAAGAGGUUUCUUACCAGCGUGGUGUAGUAGUUAAGAGCGGUGGACUCGUAAUCUGGUGAACCGGGUUCGCUUCCCUGCUCCUCCACAUACAGCUGCUGGGUAACCUUGGGCUAGUCACACUUCUCUGAAGUCUCUCAGCCCCACUCACCUCACAGAGUGUUUGUUGUGGGGGAGGAAGGGAAAGGAGAUUGUUAGCUGCUUUGAGACUCCUUAAGGGGAGUGAAAGGCGGGAUAUCAAACUCUUCUUCUUCUUCUUCUUCUUCUUCUUCUUCUUCUUCUUCUUCUUCUUCUUCCUGUGUCUUCUCCAAAGGGACGUGCAUGUUAGAAAGGAAACCUUAUUAAUCAAAGGGCUUCAUGUGCAUCUGCAGCAAGGAGUUGACUUUAAUAAAUGGAGAGCAUGUCAAAAUGCUUAGCAUUUGAAAUGAAAAAGAUCACUAAAAAGCAUAGUCCUCCCAACACAUUCUUUAUGUGUAAACUGAAUGUAUUCAUCAGGAAACUGUCGUGCAUGCACACAGCAAUCUCCCAUGCUGAGCUGACCACAAGCAAAUAUCAUCAAUGUACCCUUAAAUAAAGCCCCAUGCAGUAGGAACCAAACUGGAUUUAGCUGAGAGAUUCUAACAAUAGUGUCAUUUACUCUGCUGAAUUUAUUCCUGUGUUUUGAUUAUUAAUCAGCUGAUCGGGAGGCGGGAUCUAUGCAGCAUUCAAGACAGUUACAUUUUCUCUUAUUAUCUCAACUGAAAGCAGACUUACAUUCAUCUGGACACUGAUUUUCCUGAAUAAAUAUUCCUGAAAUGUUUGGUUCAAGGAGAAACCUGUUCUUUAGUUGCUUGCACCACGGGCUUCAGAUCCCAGCCCCAACUUUAUCCAUGCGGCACAAGCUGAGCAGACGCUUGCAACAAUGCCCUGAUACAUAUUGGAAAACAACCCAUCCCUGAUGUAUAGCCCUUUUUAAUUGUUAGGAUAUUUUAUAGCACAAAGUGCAUUGCAAGAAUUUUUUCUUUAACUAUUGCAGCAAGUCUGCGAAAGAAGUCAUGAAUAUUCCUAUCUUAGAGACUGGAACUCAAUUCACAGUGUGACUUGUUCCAAGGCUGCCCAGGGUUUUUGUGGCUGAAAGGGGACUUGGAGCCAGCAGCACCCUCCAGCUCAAGUCCAACUGUAUCCACCAGACAUAUCUUCAUUUGCAUCCUGCUGUAUAAGCAGUAGAAGAGUCCUUUGAAUUUCUGCAUACAAGGGAGCUUCUCCAUUCAUUCCAAUAAAGGAUGCAGUCACGAACAUACAAGUUGUGCACCAGAAGCCAUUUGGUUUGCACUCUGAAGAGAACAGCAAUUUGCUCGCUUCACCUAAUCCUUCCUGUCUAUCAGGUUUUGCAACUAUCUUGUGGCCAUGGAUAUCACAGCCAAUCAAUCAACUCUGCCAAGAUUAAUACAGAAGGGGGGGGGGAGGUUUUACAGAAAGCUGAUAACACCAAAUAUCAUUGAGUUGGGUCCAGAUUUACAUGUGACCAGUGCUUUUCUUCUUGGGGGGACGCAGGGGUAUGCAUACCCCUAAACACUUUGUGACUCUAAGUUUGGCCUCAUUGAGGGGAAGAAUUUCAAUAUGAGUAGGAUAAUGAGAGUACCCCUAAACAUUUUUUUUUUUAGAAAAAAAGCACUGCAUGUGGCAAUGUUCCCUUGUGCUGGAGAAAGGGUGAGGCGACAAUGUUCACCAAAUCCUCCUUCUCCAGAGUCCCUGAAAACCCUUCACCUGUGUCCAGAGGUGGAUUUAGGGGGUUCGGUCACACUGGGUGUAGAGGCUCAGGGGUACCGCAACUACAACUAUGAUGUAGAAGAGAUGGCGAGAGGUGAGAGGCAGGGGCCCACCAAAUUUUGGUGUUGCACAGGGCGCCACUGAAAUUUGAGAUCUGCAAGGUCCCCCACUGCCUGUGACCCAUGAAAAUUUGCUCCAAAGGAUUUAGGGACCCUGCAGAGCAGCAUAAGAAGUGACUGCAGAGAAAAGGGAGAAUCAGCCCAAACCGUCUUCCACCCUCCCCUCCAGUGGCAAGCCUCCAAUGGAACUCAGAGCCUUCUGGGUGAAUAUGUGAAGUACAAGGUGUGACCGGAAAGUUCGGUGAAUGGCCACAGAAAUCUGACAGCGAGAAACAUUCAGACAUACAAUCGGCAUCGGAAACCCACAAAAUGCUCACAAUUGUGUAUGGAGAUGAAGCUGUUACUCGAAUGACAGUAUAUGAGUGGUUUAAGCGUUUCUGUGAAGGGUGGCAAACCACAGAAGAUGACCCUUGGUCUGGCAGACCAUCAACAAGCAAAAAGGAGGCAAAUGUCGACAGAGUUCGUGAGUUAUUGAUGCGGGAUCGGCGUUUGUCCGUCUGAAUGAUGGCCGAAGAAUUGCAUAUUCUGCAUGAAAUCAUUACUGAAGUUACUGAGUUGUUUCACCCUCCACAUUCUCCCAAUCUGGCCCCACCUGAUUUCUUUCUUUAUCCAAAACUGAAAUCUGCACUGAAAGGGCACAGGUUUCCCAACAUUUCACACAUCCAAGCUGCUGUGACAAGGGAACUGAAAGCAGUACGAAAAGAGGACUUCUCCAGAAGUUUCCAACAGUUCUACGAACGUUGUCAAUGGUGCAUUAUAUCAGAGGGGGCCUACUUUGAAGGCCUGUAAGGUGUGUAUGUUCAAAUAUUCCUCACUGUCCGAUUUCUGUGACCAUUCACCGAACUUUCCAGUCACACCUUGUAUUUCCAUUUGCAGACAGGACACACCGGAUCCAACCCAGUGUUUUUGACCGUUAUCUAGGCAAAAAGAAUUCUCUCAUGUUCUUUAAGAAAAUUAGUAGCUUUAGGGUUUGGGAUUGCAAUAAUCCAAAAGCUGGCAGAGUUCCUCCUGUGCAUUUCACAAGGUAUAUUUGUCCUCAGUGAACAUUAUUUGCCUGGGUGUGCAAGAUGUCUCAUGCCUGAAGACUAAAAUAUUUGGAGGGAAAAGGGUAAACUAUAAGGAUCAUUCAUUUUGUCAAAAUUUAUGAACAACUGACUCCUCAUAUUGGAAAUUGGCUUUUAAAGCUGGGCUCUAUCAUUUGUGACUGCACCAUGUGAUGUAUAAAACUCAUAAACAUGUUGCAGCAAGUCAGAGACGGGCGUGAAGCAGAGUUUCAGAAGCUGCCAGCACAGAGGAACCACUAAAUUGGCAUGGUGCCUUGAUAGGCCCAACCCUUAAAGAAACCAAGAUUUAAACUAUACUCACACGCACAUUAACGACAAUAUGGUCACUGAAUACUAACAUGGAUAAAUACUAUUAAUUAAAAACAUUCAAAUGUUGUUUCAAAACUUCAUUUGCCAUUUUUAAUAAGUGUUAAGCAAUAGUAGUAAACAUUGCUACAGUCAUUUUAAUAAUUUUCAUUAAAGCUUUUUUAAAAAAUGCUACUUAAAAACUACUACCCGGCACCUUUUUAAUAUUGGCCUUUUCAUGUUCUUUCAAGGUUUGCCUCUUCUUCUCUGAACAAACCAAUAGCAAACUUUCCAUGAACCCAUGCUGCCAUCAUAUGAUGCCAGUGGGCAUCUUUGUUGCAUCAGAUUUUUCUUCCCACCUCCGCCUUCCACUCUGGCUGGCAUAGACAUCAGGAUUGUGGAUAUAGCAAUGGCUGUACCACUCCAUCAAGCUCUGCUGUUCCCAGCCAGAUUAUUUUGGAUGGCACCCUACAAACAUGCAUUUUUACACAAGCAUUCCCCAGCUCUUGAUGCCAUUUUUUAACUACCUGGGUCCUGUGUGAUCUUUUACUGUUUUAUCGUAAUGUUUCAUUAGCAUUGCUGUUAUUUUGUUGUUAUAAAACACCUCUGGAUUUAUAAUUAAAUGAAAUCAGGCACUGAAAUUAUUUUAAAUAAAAAGAGGAAUGCACAAGCACUUCUGUGUGCACUGUGAAAGGAGUUGAACCUAUGCAUACGUUGGAAGCAAAUGUUUGCAUAGCCCUUUAGGGUGUUCAACAAGUUCCUGCUCUCCUGUCCAAAUGGUUCUCUUCCAGCGCUUUUUAAAUUUGGCACCCUGUGGCAACAAAAAAAGGCACCCAAUUCAAAAGCACAGAACUGUAGCUGGAAAGGAAAAAUUCUCAGCUUUUUCCUUUCCAGCAACAGCUUGAAUUCAAAAACCCUAACCCUUUGCACACAUGUCUGGAUUCCUUUGCACCUGCAAGGAAGACAGGAGGAUUCCUCACCUGAAGUUGAAGCACUUGAUGUCAUGUGACAUCAGAUGAUUGACAGGUGAGCAGCCCUUUCCACCUGUCAAAGUGGCUCCUCGGGGUUGGGGAACUUUUGUAUCCAGUCUGUGAAAUUCACUUCCCUACCCUUACUCUAGGAUAUAGACACCAGAGCAAUAACCAUAUUUGAGAUGGCUGUUCCACUAAUGUGAACAUGCCCCACAUUUAUUUCAUAUUGCAGAAAUUUCCUGUUACUCUGGGCUCGCUGUUUGUUAAAAGAGAACUAUGAGGCAUGACUUUGGCAUCAUCUGCUUCACAAUCAUUUGCAGUGUAGAUGCAGGGCCUCUCCUUUCUCUCAAGAAUUCAAUGUGUGCUGAGCUAGAGAUUUUAUCAGCAGGCAGCUUUGCUCUUGAAUCAAGGGCUUAACCAAAGGUUAGCGGAGAUUACUGCAAAAGCCCCAGAGUUGCUUUACGGGGGAAAUUGUGUUUAUUGACAAUGAGGUGAGGCAUACACAUGCAUAUAUGUGUGUGUGUAUGUGCGCACGCGUGCACGCACACACACACACACACACACACACACACACAGAGAGAGUGGAGAGGUUGUGCAAGUGAUACAAUAGCAGACCUUCUUAGAGAAGUGGUUUCAAAAUGGAUUUCCCACUCCUUUCAAGACUUGCCAAGAUUGCAAUCACCUUGUGAAAGGCUUGCCUGUGCAAACUUGUUCUAAGGCGAGUGAAUCCAGAUGGUCAUUGUGUAAGCUUAAACGGGGACCUUGUUGUGCUCAAUCCACCAAGCUCUGCUCACAUGUAGGCCUUGCUGAGAUGAAUGGAAGUGGUGCCUCUUGGUUAAGGGGGAAAUGCUAAGAGCUUUCGUUAAUGCAAUGCAAGUUCCUACUUUAUGCAGCUGUCAAUAUAUUCUGCCCACUCCUUUUACACAUCCUACAAGUUUCUUUGAGAGAUAGGCCAAAGAAAUUUUUGCCCAGGCACUCCCAAAAGAAAGAAAAUAAACUGAACUUAUUUUUCCAUUAGUGUAUGUUCUGUGAAAUAUAUUAUAAAGCUGCCAACUUAUAGCUCUGGGUUCUACUGCUGAAGCUUGGGCUAGUGCAUCAUCUUUUAAUGAAUGACAGGCUGACUUCAUGUGUAUAGACAUAGCUUUAUGUGGAAGCAGAAUGGCCUGCAUCUUAGAAGUCCAGACUGUGCCCCACAGAUGUAAUGUGGAAGGAGGGUUUGAAAUGAAGGAGCAGUCUGUUAAUGGAGACAUUUAACAUAUAUCUAAGACCUCAAAAUUACUAUCACACAGUCUCUUGCACUUCUCUUUCCCCCGAUGUUUUUUCUCCCUGAUAACAGAAAUCUGGCCAAGGGAAAUGCUUCUCAGGGAAGGAUUGUGAGGGAAACACCCCCAUUUGAGGGAGCAUUCAGCACCCCUUUCUACAACGCUUCCAGAGGAGCCUUGAAACCAAACACCCAACUACUCUCCAAUGAAUGAUGUAAAAUGUGAAACAGGAUCAUUAACAAUCUGUCUCAUUGUAGCAAUACAUAUACUAUCUUCCUGUGUUUUACCGUAGAUAUUGGAACUAUAGAUACUGGAAGCUUUGUCAGAACAGGCCUCCUUAAACAAAGAAAACAGCUACCUAAUCCUCUCUAAGGUAAGCUUUCAUGGCCAGAACAACAAACAACAUUCCGCUUCUGAAAACCCAAACAGUCCCAGACUGCUUACAUAGAAGCCUGGAUAAAAAUAGAUUCUUUAAAACCAGAGUCAUAGGGACCUAUAGCAAUUGUUUAGAUCUGGACCAGAUUCCAGGGAAUCAAAUACUUGCAAAAUUAAGAAAGAUUCUCAGUUGAACUUCAGUGUAGACCACCAACAUUAAGGAGUGGCACUGAUUUGGCAUGAGAACGGGGGAAAGGCAAUGAUUACUACUUUGCUACCAUCCAUGGAAUCCUGCAAUGGGACUUCCAUACUGGCUCAUGUGUGAAGCUUUUCAGUAGAGCUGGCUCACAUGUUCAGUUGCUGGUUACAGUAAUCAAUUGUAGAUAAAUUAAAUUAUGCACAUGGCUAUGAGAACCAGGCCUCUGAGAAGAUGUUCUUCUUUUAAAAAAAUCAAAAUCUAGGAAUACAGUAAAAAAAAAAAAAAUUAAAUUAUUCACAAGGGUCUUGUUGUGGUGAGCUCUGCAUACCAAACAUCUCCUAACAGGUCUCUCUCUCUCUCUCUCUUACUAAGAUGAGAAGUCAUUUUGAAUAAGUUGCCUGUUCAAAGAGUUCUUUGAUAAGCACAAAACUGCUUGCCAAAAUUCAUAUUUAGAGCCUUAAUGGUGGGAGAAAAACCAAGAAAUCCAAUACUAAGCAGUGGAUUAAAAUGUAUAAAGCAUAUUAAAUGUUGUUAGUUGAAAGCAGGUUUGUUGGUCCUUAAUGAACACCCUCUGCUAGAUACGUAGAAGCUAUAUCCAUUUUGGUAACAUAACUCUGCCUUGGGCAUGGUAGAAGUUGGGAGUAAUGCCAAGGCCCUAGCAGGGCCGACUGCCACAGGACUUCUGACCCCACAAGAGAUGCAGCUCAGCUGGGCCAUGGGAACACCAAGCAAAGUUUUGGUCCCACAAGUGUGAUGCAUGUGUGCUGGCCUGUGUUGCUAUGUUAAUAUACCAGCCCUACUCCCAACUUGUAUACAAAGUGGGCCGGGCUGAUUUCAUUAAGAGGGUGGUGCUAGCCACCAGAUGUCUACUAUGUUUUGGCUGGCACUGCCUCCAGACAUCACCUUAGUCCCUGAUGGCUGUCCAGCAGGGAGCAGAGGGCUUCCCACCAGCACUACUGAGCAGAGAUUCUGGCUUACAUGUAUGUCCUGACAAGUACUGCUGAGUGUGUUCAUGAUACCCUGUCCCACCCCUGGCAUAUCCACAUUGUGACAGGUCCAGCACCACUAAUGUGAUGAGGCCAGCAAUUACCCAUGAUGUAUGCAGGCCCGGAGCUCCACUUGGUACUGCAGCCUGAGUACCAACUAGGAAAUGGUGGUGGCAGGCACUGACUGUGCAGCCUUUCAGUUGGCCAGAUUUGACACUCGUGGGGAAGGUUCCAUCUUGACUAACUAGCCAAGAAAAUAAAACUUUGCAAGUUUCUCCAAGACAACUCUUGGGCAACUUGUUCAGUAGUGAAUUAUCUGAGAAAAUGAUGACUAAGGUUUUAAGAGGGAAAAGAUGUUGUCUUGAUCCACAGUGAUACCCAUGACCAAGUGAAGGCAGUGGCCCUAGCAAGCUGGAGCUUAGUAAGCAGGCCAAGCCCCUGGAUAAGAAUCAAGGUGCUGGUUCAAGGCCACAGUACAUGCUCUUCUUCUUCUUUGGUGAUCACUCGUAGCCAAGUAAGAUUGUUGUCCAAAAACACGGUUUUAACAGUUAGUCCAUAAGUGACUGUGGAGGCCAAUUCUGGAUCCACACGUCGUUCCACAGUGGGGACAUAGGUAUCCGGGUGGGAGUUGAUCACAGUGUGGAUUUGCCAAGCGUGCCUUCCUCUUAGCACAUUUCUCCCUUUCAUCCUGAAUUCAAGUGUCUUCAAAGUCCAGAACACCUUUGGUAAAGGCUGUUCUCCAAUUGGAGCCCUUGCAGGCCAGAGUUUCCCAGUUGUUGGUGUUUAUACUACUUUUUUUUUUUUUUUUAGAUUUGCCUUGAGAACCUCUUUUGUUGACCACCAGCAUUACACUUUCCAUUUUAUAGUUCGGAAUAGAGUAGUUCCACCUUGAGCUGAAGCAGACGAUACAAGACAACAUCUUUUCCCUCUUAAAACCUUAGUCAUCAUUUUCUCAGAUAAUUCACUACUGAACAGUGUCCAAAACUGGAGUGUGAGGAAGCAAAUACCUAUAUCUGAGUUAUGUAUCUAUACUGAGUUUAUUGUAAUGAUAUUUUAGGAUCCCUUAUUGUUCUUCUAUUCUUAAUUGUCUUUGGAAUUUUGCUCAGAGUAGUAAAGAAGUUUUGCUCUGGGAAUUAAAGGAGCACUGUCAUUUUCAUUAAUAUAAUUUCUACUGGGCGAAAUAUACUAUGACGUAUAUCCCAUUGACCUUUACAGUGACCCAUGAAGUAUACAGUUGUUAAUCUUACUGUCUAGAUGUACAACCAAAACUCAGAGACAACCUCCCAGUGGGCUUGUUUGGCUUAUGGGUAUUAUGCCACUGCAGAAGCUUCAGCAGAAGACAAUGUUACUGUCUUCAGAUACCUGGUAAUGAAAACUACAACCUUCUAAUGUAUUUCUUGCCAGCCCAAGGAGGUAUAUUAAAAAGUCCUAUUAUCUUAAUAGAUGUCUAUUGAAGGUUGGAGCUCAUAUUUGACUCUUACCUUCCCUAUUCUCUGGCAAGAUAUACAAAAGUCUUACUCAUUUCUGACCCCAAAGGCGUGAAUAAAUAUGUUGGCUUAGGUGGUGAUUAAUGCUUGUUGAUCUCUUGAUGUCUACCAAAUGGGGAGUCAUGGGUGAGGAACUUUAGUUUGAACUCUUUGGGCAUGAACUUGUUAGAUCACAUCAUGGCUAGGGGGAGCAGACAUUUUGCAUAGCAGUUUCUUGUCUCUGCAAACCUCAGAUGACAGCGAGGCUUCUACUUAAGCUGAAUCAAUCCCUAUUUACACCACUGAUACAGGGUGUAAAUAAGGAGCAAAACACGCUUUAUGUUCAUUUGGCUUCUCUCCCCACCCUUUUCUCUGUGUGGGGUAUUUGAUAGGGAAUUUGUGCAGUUGGGAAAUCUGCUUUAAACCUACUCACCACCAAUGUGCAUUGUGUUUUAAAGUUGUAAUGCUACAAGCUUGUCUUGAUGUGUUAUUUUUGUAAUUUAAAAAGAAAAAACUGAGCUGUGAGCUGUCUUGAAGACAAAUUCCAUUAUUUAUUUUAAAAACAAAUAAGUAAAAUAAAUAAUUUUAUUUAUUUAUUAACAAUAUUUUGUGCUCUUGCUCAUAAUUUAUUCAGGUGGUUUCCCUCUGUAUAGUUUCAAGAACAUCAUGUUUCUGCCAAGGCUUUGUGGGUGGAAAGAGCCAUAAGCAUCAUGGGUGAAAAGGGAAAAAGAAACUUGUAGCUUCAGCUCAGAUGUUAAAAGACAAGAAUCUCUCCGAAUCACCCCGAAUCUGUGAGCCGUAUGUAUUUGUGAAAUAAAAUUAAAACCUGGCAACCUGAAGCACA